CCAAGGUCUGGUCCAUGGGUGUGGGAUAUGAAAGUCUGGCCCCUUUGACUCAAUUUGAGGUAAUUCUGAAGAACCAUGCCAGUUUCAGAACUCCCCACAGGGUUGGCUGAGGCCCCUGUUGUCACUGCCUCUCAACUCAACUCCUCCCUUUGCCCAGUCCUGCUUCUCUUAUCUCUGAAAAUUUCUAAUCAUAAGGACACCUUCCCAUAUAAAAAAAAAAAAAAAAAAAACCCUGAGAAUCUGGCCUAAGAAAUACAUUGUUUUUAAAUUAACUGAUAAUUUUACAUAAUGCUUCUGAAAUAAUGUGGGAAAAUAUUGUUCUUUUAUCAGCUGCUACAUCAGAAUCACGCCUCACAAUAGGCAAAUGUUAAAAAUCCCUUGGAAGUGUGAAUUCCUUAGAGGUGUGGCUGAGAGCCUCAAAUGUCAUGGCUGAUUAUCACAAAUUGUGAUCACUAAUUGGCUGAGAUAUUAAAGGACAUUCAAGGACUGGGGAGAGCUUGGUGAGAUUCAAUGCCAUAUGUAGGAAGAACCGAAAGAAGACCUUGGACUAUUGGGCAACAGAGAAAGGAAAGGGAGGAACUUGAAGAAAAACGACCCUGGCAGGAAUUGAAGGAGGAAAGACUGGUAACUGAAUCGGAGGGCAAAAGACUAGUAACAAGAAGAGUGGGUGUGAGAUGGUGGUACAGAUUCAGGCACCAGACAAUGAAGACCCGAAUGAAGGCAGAGUCACUGCCUGCUAUGCUCACAGCAUUGAUUUAUUGACAUAUGGCUGAGAGGUGUUGCCAUUAAUGAAGCUUCGGCCUGCUGGAUGAUGCCAGCCUAAACUUUUCAGCAGGGUAAAACUUCUGGCUCUUGAAUCUGGGAUCAAGACCAACAGCUUCCACAUAGAAAAUGCUACUAACACAAAAGAGAAGCACUCUGCAAAAAUCAACCAUGAAGACUCAAGUUAAGUACAAAUAUUGCUGACAAGAGUUGUUUACAUUUUUGAUUAGUUUUCUUCCUGCUAUGCUGUUUGCAUAAUUCCAAGUAUGGCAGUUAAUUUCUAAUUAUGAAGGCUGCUCAUUGCUUUAUUUAGAAAAUAAAUAGUGCCCUUGGAUUCAUACAAUUAGGACAUAUCCUUUGUGUAUUUACCAUGUUAUUUAAUGCCCUAACAAGGCCCAGCCAUUUGGGCCACAUGAUCUGCCUAUUUUGACGUUGGUUUUCCUAUGAUUGGCUCUGGUUGCUGAGCCCCAUUUCUCAGGAAAAUCAUUUUCCUGACCCAGGUUUGCUGCUGGAAAAUACGAGAUCUCAUAAAGUAGGAUUGCAGACAUUCCUACUUGUUAAGUAAUUAAUGCAGAGUUAAUUCCUUCUAAGUUCAUCACAUCAAUUAGGAAACUGCCUUCUUUCUACCUUCUCAGGAUGCACAGAGGGGCUAUAAGCAUAGAAGCAGACAAAACUGAGUUUGAAUCCUGCCUCUCUCUAACACCUCAUUGCUUAAGUAAUUGUUUCACCUUGGUCAACUUAACCCCUCUAAGUCUCAGUUUCCUACUCUGAAAAAUGAGGAUGGUGACAGUAUCUACCUCAAAAGGUUAUUGUAAAGUGUCUGGGAGACAGUGUAUGUGUUCUUUCUUUUUCAGGGUUGGUCAGCCUCCCUUCCCAUUCAAGGCUAGAGUCAGCUUUAAGUUCCUUGCCUGGAAGAAGGGUAGGGAGAGGAACUGGGUUGAAAGCUAAAAUAGUCUACACAUUUCCCAGCUUCAGUUUACAAAAGCCUAAUCCCCUGGGACCUAGGAGAACAGAGAGCCCCUGAACUGCAGAACAAAAGUUUGAGGAAAAAAAUGAAGGAAGAAAGAUUUCAGAAUCCAGAUUGGAGCAAGAUUCCUCUAAGCAGAGGUGAGGGGAAAAGAGGAGAAGAGCAGGGACAGUUCUGAACUCUGGGCUCUGAACUCUAGUAGAUUGGGCUCUAGACUGCUUCCCAGGAAGGAAAGACCCUAGAGAUGGGCCAGGCCCUCUCCAGGGGACUUACAGAUUGAUUGUUAUAACCAAUUAUACUUGCUUGUCCUAAACUAUCCUGUCUAAAAUGUGUUACAUUCAUUCCUCCUUCCUAAACAAGGCAUCUUUUCUUCUUGACUUAUGCACAUUAGUCAUUAUGCACAUUCAAUACUGGGCAGCUCCAGUGAAUGAUACCUUACAGUUCUUUCAAAAUCCAUAGGGUUAUUUACUUCUGCAAUCUGUGGCCCCAGACUACAGUGCUAAACUAAUGUUUGAAACUUCUUUUCCAUUUUUUUUAUCCUGAUGGCUGGCAGCCUCUCGUCCAAUGUACUUUCCUACCUGGGAUCAAUCAGUAUGUCUCCCCACAGCAGUUCCUCUCCUUUUUCACUCUCAUUUGCUAUUGCAAACUUUGUGUAGCCUUAGAAAUGAAAUAAAAUUUUUUUAGGUUGGGUCCAGUGGCUCACGCCUAUAAUCCCAGCACUUUGGGAGGCCAAGGCAGAAGAAUCACUUGAACCCAGGAGGCAGAGGUUGCAGAGAGCCAAGAUCAUGCUGCUGCACUCCAGCCUGGCUGACAGAGCAAGACUCCAUUUCAAAAAAAAAAAGCAAAAAAAAAAUUUAGAAUUGAAAGGUAAGCAGAUUCUGAGUGAGAGAGCAAGGAAUGUUAUACUUUUGAAAUAUCUGUUUUGACUGUGCUAUGGGCUAAAUUGUGUCCUCCUAAAGUCCUCUUGAAAUCCUAACCCCCAAUGUGGCUGUAUUUGGAGAUAGGGCCUAUAAAGAGGGAAUAAAGGUUAAAUGAGGUCAUAAGGGUAGGGCCCUAAUCUGGUAAAAGCAGUGUUCUUAUAAGAGGAAGAGACACCAAAGAGCUCUCCCUCUCUCCAUGUACAUAGAGAAAUGGCCAUGUGAGGACACAGGGAAAAGUAUGGCCAUCUAUAAGCCAGGAGGGGAGACCUCAUCAGAAACUGACCCUGAGAGCACUUUGAUCUUGAACUUCCAGCCUCUGGAACUGUGAAAAAAUAAAUUUCUAUUGCUUAACCCACCCUGUCCUUGGUAUUCAGUUACUGUAGCAUGAACAGACACAGACCACAUAGCAAAGGGUGUUUUUGUUUUUAUCUGUUUUUUGAAGGGGGGUGGGUGUAUUAGUUCGUUUUCAUGCUGCUGUGAUAAAGACAUACCUGAGACUGGGUAAUUUACAAAGGAAAAGAGGUUUAAUGGACUCACAGUUCCACAUGGCUGGGGAGGUCUCACAAUCAUGGCAGAAAGCAAAAGGCACAUCUUACAUGGUGGCAGACAAGAGAGGAUGAGAACCAAGUGAAAAAGGAAACCCCUUAUAAAACCAUCAGAUCUCAUGAGACUUAUUCACUACCACAAGACCAUGAGAACAAUAUAGG
ensembl:lncRNA